rnacentral:lncRNA from 1 species
CUUUGAACAUGCCGGGAGUGAAAUUAAUCUCAUUAAAGUCUUGUUCGUUAACCAUCUAAUAACGCUAUAUAAAGCGCAUCGACGACCUUUGGUGUAGCUGUUAACCAACGAAAAGUAAGUGAUAGCCAUAUGCAACUUUUAAAAUUAGAUUGUAGGAUUUAUGUGUGGAUUUUUUAUACGAAUUCUAGUAAUUAAAGUAAAUAAUACAAUAGAACAUUUUUAUGAGUUUUUUUCUUCAAACACUUUAAACAAACAUAUGAAACUGACACGAUCGAUAGUGUAUUAAAAAAUACAUGUUUGUAUUCUGAACUUUUUGCGUCAUUCCAGCAAACAUUUUCACUUGCUUGUAUUGUGGAAAUAAAAUGUGUAUUAAUUUGUGACACCUAGUGAAUGUUGA